rnacentral:rRNA from 1 species
GAGCGUAGGGCGCGAGCGUUUGUCCGGGAUUUAUUGGGCGUAAAGAGCUCGUAGGCGGCUUGUUGGCGUCAGCUGUGAAAACCCGCAGCUCAACUGUGGGCUUGCAGCUGGAUACGGGCAGGCGUUGAGUUCGGUAGGGGGAGACUGGAAUUCCUGGUGUAGCGGUGAAAUGCGCAGAUAGUCAGGAGGGAACACCGGUGGCGAAGGCGGGGUCUCUGGGCCGAAUACGUGACGCUGAGGAGCGAAAGCGUGGGGAGCGAACAGG